rnacentral:rRNA from 1 species
UACGUAGGGGGCAAGCGUUGUCCGGAAUCAUUGGGCGUAAAGAGCGCGUAGGCGGCCCUGUAAGUCCGCUGUGAAAGUCAAGGGCUCAACCCUUGGAUGCCGGUGGAUACUGCAGGGCUAGAGUCCGGAAGAGGCGAGUGGAAUUCCUGGUGUAGCGGUGAAAUGCGCAGAUAUCAGGAGGAAUACCCAUAGCGAAGGCAGCUCGCUGGGACGUUACUGACGCUGAGGCGCGAAAGCGUGGGGAGCGAACAGG